GGAUGGACUCGCGGCCUAUCAGCUAGUUGGUGAGGUAACGGCUCACCAAGGCGUCGACGGGUAGCCGGCCUGAGAGGGUGACCGGCCACACUGGGACUGAGACACGGCCCAGACUCCUACGGGAGGCAGCAGUGGGGAAUAUUGCACAAUGGGCGCAAGCCUGAUGCAGCAACGCCGCGUGGGGGACGAAGGCCUUCGGGUUGUAAACCUCUUUUAGUAGGGAAGAAGCGAAAGUGACGGUACCUGCAGAAAAAGCACCGGCUAACUACGUGCCAGCAGCCGCGGUAAUACGUAGGGUGCGAGCGUUGUCCGGAAUUAUUGGGCGUAAAGAGCUCGUAGGCGGUUUGUCACGUCUGCUGUGAAAACCCGAGGCUCAACCUCGGGCCUGCAGUGGGUACGGGCAGACUAGAGUGCGGUAGGGGAAGAACGGAAUUCCUGGUGUAGCGGUGGAAUGCGCAGAUAUCAGGAGGAACACCGAUGGCGAAGGCAGUUCUCUGGGCCGUAACUGACGCUGAGGAGCGAAAGCGUGGGGAGCGAACAGGAUUAGAUACCCUGGUAGUCCACGCCGUAAACGUUGGGCGCUAGAUGUGGGGACCAUUCCACGGUUUCCGCGUCGUAGCUAACGCAUUAAGCGCCCCGCCUGGGGAGUACGGCCGCAAGGCUAAAACUCAAAGGAAUUGACGGGGGCCCGCACAAGCGGCGGAGCAUGCGGAUUAAUUCGAUGCAACGCGAAGAACCUUACCAAGGCUUGACAUAUGCGAGAACGCUCUAGAAAUAGAGAACUCUUUGGACACUCGUAUACAGGUGGUGCAUGGUUGUCGUCAGCUCGUGUCGUGAGAUGUUGGGUUAAGUCCCGCAACGAGCGCAACCCUCGUCGCAUGUUGCCAGCACGUAAUGGUGGGAACUCAUGUGAGACUGCCGGGGUCAACUCGGAGGAAGGUGGGGAUGACGUCAAAUCAUCAUGCCCCUUAUGUCUUGGGCUUCACGCAUGCUACAAUGGCCGGUACAAAGGGCUGCGAAACCGCAAGGUGGAGCGAAUCCCAAAAAGCCGGUCUCAGUUCGGAUUGAGGUCUGCAACUCGACCUCAUGAAGUCGGAGUCGCUAGUAAUCGCAGAUCAGCAACGCUGCGGUGAAUACGUUCCCGGACCGUGUACACACCG
rnacentral:rRNA from 1 species